rnacentral:rRNA from 1 species
GAUGAACGCUGGCGGCGUGCCUAAUACAUGCAAGUCGAGCGAACAGACGAUGAGCUUGCUCCUUUGACGUUAGCGGCGGACGGGUGAGUAACACGUAUGUAACCUACCUAUAAGACUGGGAUAACUUCGGGAAACCGGCUCUAAUACCGUAUAAUAUCUCGAACCGCAUGGUUCGUUAGUGAAAGAUGGCUUUUCUAUCACUUAUAGAUGGUCCUGCGCCGGAUUAGCUAGUUGGUAAGGUAACGGCUUACCAAGGCAACGAUACGUAGCCGACCUGAGAGGUUGAUCGGCCACAGUGGAACUGAGACACGGUCCAGACUCCUACGGGAGGCAGCAGUAGGGAAUCGUACGCAAUGGGCGAAAGUCUGACGGAGCAACGCCGAGUGAGUGAUGAAGGUCUUCCGAUCGUAAAACUCUGUUAUUAGGGAAGAACAAACGUGGAAGGAAAUGAGGACGGCUUGACGGUAACUAAUCAGAAAGCAACGGCUAACUACGUG